GGAGAAGGAGAAGGAGAGGGAGAGGGACAGGAAAACGGAGAGGGAGAGGGAAAGGGAAACGGAGAGGGAGAGGGAAAGGGAGAGGGAAAGGGAAGGAAAGGUAAAAGGAAAGGGACAGAGAAGGGAGAGGGAAAGGAGAAGGGAAGGAGAAUGGAAGGAAAGGGAAGGAAAAGGAACAGGAUCUCAGAAAUUAUUGAGGCAAUUAUGUGAGCGCAGUACAUGAGAAGUAAUCCCAGCUGCUGGGAGCUGGGGGGAAGAGAAAUCAUGGUGUGAUCCAAAGGGGCCCCAGAGAGCGCACGCCAGCAGCGGUGACCUGGUUUGCAGAUGGAUCCAACGCUCCUCUGCUUCCAAGCCCAACACACCGCCCUGCUCCUGGGUGUCAGCGCUGGCAUCGUGCACUAAUCUGUUUAUUUCUGUUUGCUUCCUUUCUUAUUUUUCCUGUCUUUUGAAUUAAAAGCUAAUCCUCCGUGCUGAUUCUCAUAAUUUCGAGCCAUGCAUUGAACACAGGAAUUCUUGAGCAGGUUUUUGCUCCCCUGGCAGCAUCACUUUCCCCAUUGCACAGGAAACCAAAGGCAGACAGCAGAGCAAGAAAACACAACACAGCUCCUGCAUCACGCCACCUCCUCGGGCUUCCAGCACAUCUCAACACAGAACUAGAGCAAAAGGGCAGAUUAUUUAAAGCCGUCACAUGUAGGCCAAUUUUCGCUGCAGUUCCUUUUGGCUCUGAUUUUGCAGGCCCCAGCGGAGUGGUGAAGUCAUGAAUAAAUGCAAGCAAACCGAGCUGAUCCACUCUCAUUUGAGCAGCGGAGUUUACUCGCCCCAUGCUGCUUCAGCUGGAACACCAGAAGCAUCCCUUCCGUUUGGCUUCGACCGGAGCUGAGUGACUGCCGCGCUUGUCAUCGUGUGGUCAAAACAGUGGCAGGAUGCAGGAUGCUGUGUGCAGGCAGCGUGCAGGCAGGAUCCGGCUUCGCUUUGCUCCUGCACAUCUCCUGACACCGCCACCGCUGUUUCCACCCACCGACCUCAAUCUAUUUAGACCAAUCCCAAUAGCAGGAUGCUCCAACCCACCCUGUCCAUCCAGCACAGAAAACUGCAGCGCCCCGCAAUUUCCAAAUGCUGGACCUACAUGGCCAGGUGCCCUUUAGCUCUCCGAGGAUGCACCCACACCUCCAUGGGCAGCCAACCCUGGCAUCCUUGAGCACAGAAAGCUCAUGCUACGUUUCUAUCCUCCAUUCAUGCAUUGGGGUUGAACCUGGCGCUGCGCUGACCUGGAAAGCGAAGCUCUUUAAAAUUCAAACGUGCACCCGUGGCGGAUUUCAGCGGUGCUACGGAGAACGCAGCCCUCCUCCUGCACAGCUCCUGCAGCACUUUGGUUGGGAUGCUGAGCUGCAGCCCUGAGGUUUGGGGCUCAGAGGCUCGCUGCAGUCACUGGGGCUCGUGCAAAUUGGUCUUCAGAGGGAAAGAGCUCCGCCACCGCAUGCACAAACACUCCUCAGCAACCGACUAAAGAGCUCCACCGGCCACCUGGGUUAACACAGUGGCUGGAUUUUGCAGAUUUGGAGAUAAAAGGCUGCGAUGGUUAACUCGCAUCCUGCAGCCCUUGUAAGGCAGCCAUUCUGCACGAGGCUUCCCUCCUGCAAUGCUUUAAGGAUGGAGCAUUUUAAUUGAUUAGCUCCAUUACGGAGGAGCAGAAUAGCAGCGGUGCAGUUGAACUUUGG
ensembl:lncRNA